AUGCCUCUUCUUGUGGCUCUGCCCGUGCCCAUCUCUGUUAGUGCUAGCACGGGCGCUCUUUCUAGUACCGGUGCCGCAUCUCCUUCAGCAAAUGCUGAUGGCCUCCUGUUCGAUGAUCUUGUGCUCGGUGACGGCGAUGGAAGCAAGAAUGAGACGGACGACGACCCCGCGGUGAAGUUGGAGUGGCUCAGGUCACAGAUCAUCGGCGCCGAAGCAGAGUUCUCGUCGCCGUUCGGGACUCGCCGCAUCACGUACGCCGACCACACGGCGUCCGGCCGCUGCCUGCUCUUCGUCGAGGAGUUCGUGCAGCGGAACGUUCUCCCGUAUUACGGCAACACGCACACGGUGGACAGCUACGUGGGCAUGCACACGAGCAGGCUGGCCGGGGAGGCGGCGCGGUACGUGAAGCGCAGCCUGGGAGGCGGCCCACAGGACGUGCUGCUCUUCUGCGGCACGGGCUGCACCGCCGCCAUCAAGCGCCUCCAGGAGGUGACCGGCAUGGCCGUCCCUCCCACGCUGCGCGCCAGGGUGCUGGAGGCCCUGCCGCCGUCCGACCGGUGGGUGGUAUUCGUCGGGCCGCACGAGCACCACUCCAACCUGCUCUCGUGGCGGGAGAGCCUCGCGGAGGUGGUGGAGAUCAGGCUGCGGGAGGACGACGGCCUCGUCGACAUGGCGGCCCUGGAGGCGGCGCUGGCGGCGCCCGGGCGCGCGGGGCGGCCCAUGCUGGGCUCUUUCUCGGCGUGCAGCAACGUCACCGGGCUGCGCACCGACACGCGGGCCGUGGCGCGCCUGCUGCACCGGCACGGCGCCUUCGCCUGCUUCGACUUCGCAUGCAGCGCGCCCUACGUCGACAUCGACAUGAGGUCCGGGGAGCCGGACGGCUACGACGCCGUCUUCCUGAGCGCGCACAAGUUCCUCGGCGGGCCCGGCAGCCCGGGCAUCCUCGCGAUGGCGUCGCGGCUCUACCGCCUCCGCCGCACCGCGCCGUCCACCAGCGGCGGGGGCACCGUGCUCUACGUCAGCGGCUUCGACCACGGAGACACAGUGUACUGCGAGGACACGGAGGAGCGCGAGGACGCGGGGACGCCGGCCAUCAUACAGAAGGUCCGAGCGGCGCUGGCGUUCAAGGUGAAGGAGUGGGUCGGGGCGGAGUGCGUCGAGGAGGGCGAGCAGCGCAUGCUCGCCCUCGCCCUCCGCCGGAUCCGGACGGCUGCCAACCCCAACCUGCGCCUGCUGCUCGGCGGCGACCCCGGCAGCACCGCAGGCCGGCUCCCGGUGCUCUCUUUCGUGGUGUACCCUCCGGUCGUCGACGAGAACAAGGAGGCUCGCGGGGGCUGCGCCUGCGCAGGGCCUUACGGCCACCGGUUGCUCGGCAUCACUCCGGCGCGAGCCAAGGCCAUCAAAUCCGCCGUCGAGAUGGGCUAUCACGGAGUGCGGCCAGGGUGGACGCGUGUCAGCCUGGCGUACUACACGUCGGCGCGCGAGGCGGAGUUCGUGCUGGAGGCCAUAGACUUCGUCGCCAGUUUCGGCCACCGGUUUCUGCCGCUCUACACCUUCGACUGGAAAUCCGGGGACUGGCUGUACGACCGCAGCUGCGGCCGCGUCCGGCCAGACAACGGGCCGGUCGCCGAUACUACCAUAACUUGUGCUGCUGCUCCUGAGUCGCAUACCGGAGAAGUCAAAGCAGAGCACGAUUACCAGAGCUACAUGGCGUUUGCACGGAAGCUGGCCGAGUCCCUGCUCAACACUGGCCUGGAUGACGCUCCGGCUAGGGGCAUUCCCAAGGCCAUUGACCCGCAGUUGGUUUACUAUAUGACGUGA
rnacentral:rRNA from 1 species